UACGGGGGGAGCAAGCGUUGUUUGGAUUUACUGGGCGUAAAGGGCGCGUAGGCGGCGCAACAAGUCACUUGUGAAAUCUCCGGGCUUAACCCGGAGCGGCCAAGUGAUACUGUCGUGCUAGAGUGCGGAAGGGGCUACUGGAAUUCUCGGUGUAGCGGUGAAAUGCGUAGAUAUCGAGAGGAACACCUGCGGCGAAGGCGGGUUGCUGGGCUGAUACUGACGCUGAGGCGCGAAAGCCAGGGGAGCGAACGGG
rnacentral:rRNA from 1 species